UGGGGAAUAUUGCACAAUGGGCGCAAGCCUGAUGCAGCCAUGCCGCGUGUAUGAAGAAGGCCUUCGGGUUGUAAAGUACUUUCAGCGGGGAGGAAGGGAGUAAAGUUAAUACCUUUGCUCAUUGACGUUACCCGCAGAAGAAGCACCGGCUAACUCCGUGCCAGCAGCCGCGGUAAUACGGAGGGUGCAAGCGUUAAUCGGAAUUACUGGGCGUAAAGCGCACGCAGGCGGUUUGUUAAGUCAGAUGUGAAAUCCCCGGGCUCAACCUGGGAACUGCAUCUGAUACUGGCAAGCUUGAGUCUCGUAGAGGGGGGUAGAAUUCCAGUUGUAGCGGUGAAAUGCGUAGAGAUCUGGAGGAAUACCGGUGGCGAAGGCGGCCCCCUGGACGAAGACUGACGCUCAGGUGCGAAAGCGUGGGGAGCAAACAGG
rnacentral:rRNA from 2 species